AUGCUGCUCCUCAGCUCGUUUCUGAGCAGCGCUGAGAGCCUCGCUUGGGCUGAAAGCGCCUGGCUCGGCCGCAGUGUUGCUGCCAAACUGGGCGGUCGCAAACGCUGCGGCUGGCCGGGAAGUUUGCGGGAAGCCUCCGAAGCAAUCCCCCGUCCUGCCCCGCUAACGAUAACCUCGUCAGCCUGGCGCUGGGCCGCCCGGCAGUGCCCCAGCGCGCCCCAGCCGCCGGGCUGCCGAGGGACCCAGGCGUCCUGGGAGCCGCUCAGGGUCGGACGCGGACCGCAGGCUCCUCAACCCCAAAGCUCCUUGGAGAGCAUGGGCGCAGUUUGGUUUCGGGAGCCAAAUGGCCGCUCGCCUCCAGGCACCCGCGUCCCUGGCAGCCGAGACCGGGAGCAAUUCGCUACGUGUUUUAUAAAGGCAGAGAAAAAUCUCCCGGGGCUCAGAGCCCUCUUUACCAUGAAUCAGGCCCUCUUUAUGGCGCCGUCUCCUCCRCGCUUGCGCACGGCAGCCGCUGGGGAUGCUCGGGCCGCCGCGGGCGCCUCGCUCACGUGCCUGAGCCGCGGGGCGCAGAGGCCGGCGCCUGGGAUGCCGUGCGGCAGCGAGGAGCCGACCCCGGACGUCCUGGCGGCGGAAGCGGCUGCAGAGGAGGCGUCGCUGGAGCAACCGCUAGCGCAGGACCCAAACGAACGCCUGGUGGCCCGAAGCAGAGGCCACGGGCUCCCAAACCGCCCUCUGCACCCGGGCAGCAACGUGGCCUCCAAGCCCAUGCUGCAAACAGGAGUGUCCUCAUCUCCGACGGGCUCAUCCUUCCCUGUCCUGGGGAAGGGCAAACCCCUCCCGGGACCGAGCAGCCGAUGGGGCUCCUCCAGCCGCAGGGGUGACCGAGCCAGCGCGGUGCCUGCGGGAGCCCAGGGCCGCGGGAGAGGAGGCGAGGGCCUGCGGUGGCUCCAGGGCAGCGCCAGGGCCCCGUCAAGCCUCCGCGAGACGAGGCGGGGAGGAUCCGUCAGCGGGGCCUGGCAGGGAGCGGGUUUGGCGGCUGCCCGCGGCCCUGGCGCUGCCCUGACGUCAGGGUCUGCUCGCCGUCAGCCUCAGCUCGCCCCGCGCAGGCCACCCGGGCCGAGAAGCGUCUGGAAAUCAUCAGGGCCUGGCACCACCGCGCUGCCAGGAAGGUUUCUCCAGCACCGACACCGGCUAGAGACCGUUCCCGGGCAAGCGGGUGACAUCCCUGGCACGCGUCACGGGAGGGCCCAGGGCAAAGGAGGAGCUAGGGAAACUGAGGCACGAUGCCGGGGGGGGGGGGGCCCUUCACUGCACACUCCCUGCUCUAAUCACUGUGUGUGCCCUCUGACACAGCAGGAGUGGGAAGCUGGUCCCCUGCUCCAGGGAAACCCUUGGGCAAAGGACAGCGCUGAGGGCUGUGGCUGCGCAGGAGGCCACCGACACUGUUGGGGCGCCCGUGGGACCGUCUGCCCUGACGGGGUGGCAGGAGAGCUGCUGCUAGUGCUUCUCCCCGGUGCCCUCUCCCCCACCCUGGGAGCCUUCCCCGGCUCAUUGCACCGCUCACUGCACUGA
ensembl:lncRNA